rnacentral:rRNA from 1 species
AUGAACGCUGGCGGCGUGCUUAACACAUGCAAGUCGAACGAAGAUGCCGGAGUGCUUGCACUUUGGCAGACUGAGUGGCGGACGGGUGAGUAACGCGUGGGUAACCUGCCUUAUACAGGGGGAUAACAGUUGGAAACGACUGCUAAUACCGCAUAAGCGCACGGUAUCGCAUGAUACAGUGUGAAAAACUCCGGUGGUAUAAGAUGGACCCGCGUCUGAUUAGCUUGUUGGUGAGGUAACGGCUCACCAAGGCGACGAUCAGUAGCCGGCCUGAGAGGGUGAACGGCCACAUUGGGACUGAGACACGGCCCAAACUCCUACGGGAGGCAGCAGUGGGGAAUAUUGCACAAUGGGGGAAACCCUGAUGCAGCGACGCCGCGUGAGUGAUGAAGUAUUUCGGUAUGUAAAACUCUAUCAGCAGGGAAGAUAAUGACGGUACCUGACUAAGAAGCACCGGCUAAAUACGUGUCAGCAGCCGCGGUAAUACGUAUGGUGCAAGCGUUAUCCGGAUUUACUGGGUGUAAAGGGUGCGUAGGUGGUAUGGCAAGUCAGAAGUGAAAGGCUGGGGCUCAACCCCGGGACUGCUUUUGAAACUGUCAAACUAGAGUACAGGAGAGGAAAGCGGAAUUCCUAGUGUAGCGGUGAAAUGCGUAGAUAUUAGGAGGAACACCAGUGGCGAAGGCGGCUUUCUGGACUGAAACUGACACUGAUGCACGAAAGCGUGGGGAGCAAACAGGAUUAGAUACCCUGGUAGUCCACGCCGUAAACGAUGAGUGCUAAGUGUUAGGGGGUUUCCGCCCCUUAGUGCUGCAGCUAACGCAUUAAGCACUCCGCCUGGGGAGUACGACCGCAAGGUUGAAACUCAAAGGAAUUGACGGGGGCCCGCACAAGCGGUGGAGCAUGUGGUUUAAUUCGAAGCAACGCGAAGAACCUUACCAGGUCUUGACAUCCCGAUGACCGCUUCUUAAUCGAAGCUUUUCUUCGGAACAUCGGAGACAGGUGGUGCAUGGUUGUCGUCAGCUCGUGUCGUGAGAUGUUGGGUUAAGUCCCGCAACGAGCGCAACCCUUAUUGUUAGUUGCCAUCAUUUAGUUGGGCACUCUAGCGAGACUGCCGGUGACAAACCGGAGGAAGGUGGGGAUGACGUCAAAUCAUCAUGCCCCUUAUGAUCUGGGCUACACACGUGCUACAAUGGCUGUUACAGAGAGAAGCGAAUCCGCGAGGAAGAGCAAACCUCAAAAAGGCAGUCUCAGUUCGGAUUGUAGUCUGCAACUCGACUACAUGAAGCUGGAAUCGCUAGUAAUCGCGAAUCAGAAUGUCGCGGUGAAUACGUUCCCGGGUCUUGUACACACCGCCCGUCACACCAUGGGAGUUGGAAAUGCCCGAAGUCAGUGACCCAACCGCAAGGAGGGAGCUGCCGAAGGCAGGUUCGAUGACUGGGGUG